AGGUUGAGGGAACCAAGGGGAGAGGCUGGUGUCAUCUGAAUUUAGAAGCUGGAAGAAGGGACCCUGCAGCAGAGGCAGCUCUGACCCUCCGGAACCCAGUUUCCCAAAGGGACCUUGCUAUACUGGCCUCCUAGUCAUUUGACAAGGCAAAUUGCAUUUACACAAUGAAGGCAAGACAAGGGUUUUCUUGAAGAUCUUGCUUAGCUACAGCAGGAUCUUGAAAGAUCCAAGUAAAUUCCUCAAAAUGGGAGACUGAUUUUCAGGAAUUGCCUAAUGUGACUGUGAGAGCUGGCAAGUCUGAAACUCACAGGGCAGGCCAGUAGGCUGGAAAUUCCAAGAGUCGAUAUUGCAGUCUUGAGUUUAAAGGCAGUCUGGAGGCAGAAUUGUUUCCUCUUCAGGGUCCCUCAGUCUGUUUUCUUAAGGCCUUCAGCUGAUUGGAUGAAGCCUGUCUACAUUAUGGCAGGUAAUAUAAUUCAUUCAAAGUCUACUGAUUUAAAUAUUAAUCACA
rnacentral:lncRNA from 1 species